GGUGGUGAACAGCGGAGGGAUCAUUACCGAGUUUACAACUCCCAAACCCCUGUGAACAUACCACUUGUUGCCUCGGCGGAUCAGCCCGCUCCCGGUAAAACGGGACGGCCCGCCAGAGGACCCCUAAACUCUGUUUCUAUAUGUAACUUCUGAGUAAAACCAUAAAUAAAUCAAAACUUUCAACAACGGAUCUCUUGGUUCUGGCAUCGAUGAAGAACGCAGCAAAAUGCGAUAAGUAAUGUGAAUUGCAGAAUUCAGUGAAUCAUCGAAUCUUUGAACGCACAUUGCGCCCGCCAGUAUUCUGGCGGGCAUGCCUGUUCGAGCGUCAUUUCAACCCUCAAGCACAGCUUGGUGUUGGGACUCGCGUUAAUUCGCGUUCCUCAAAUUGAUUGGCGGUCACGUCGAGCUUCCAUAGCGUAGUAGUAAAACCCUCGUUACUGGUAAUCGUCGCGGCCACGCCGUUAAACCCCAACUUCUGAAUGUUGACCUCGGAUCAGGUAGGAAUACCCGCUGAACUUAAGCAUAUCAUA
rnacentral:rRNA from 1 species